rnacentral:rRNA from 1 species
GUAGGGAAUAUUGGGCAAUGGUCGGAAGACUGACCCAGCCAUGCCGCGUGCAGGAAGACGGCCCUCUGGGUUGUAAACUGCUUUUAUCUGGGAAGAAAAAGGCCAUGCGUGGCAAAUUGCCGGUACCAGAUGAAUAAGCACCGGCUAACUCCGUGCCAGCAGCCGCGGUAAUACGGAGGGUGCAAGCGUUGUCCGGAUUUAUUGGGUUUAAAGGGUGCGUAGGCGGCUGAUUAAGUCAGCGGUGAAAGACUCCGGCUUAACCGGAGCAGUGCCGUUGAUACUGGUUAGCUUGAGUGUUGGAGGGGUACAUGGAAUUGAUGGUGUAGCGGUGAAAUGCAUAGAUACCAUCAGGAACACCGAUAGCGAAGGCAUUGUACUGGCCAACAACUGACGCUGAUGCACGAAAGUGUGGGGAUCGAACAGGAUUAGAUACCCGGGUAGUCC